rnacentral:rRNA from 2 species
UAGGGAAUAUUGGUAAUGUGCGAAAGCGCGAACCAGCAACGCCGCGUGCACGAUGAAGGCCUUCGGGUCGUAAAGUGCUUUUAGAGAGGAUGAGGAAGGACAGUACUUUCUGAAUAAGCCUCGGCUAACUACGUGCCAGCAGCCGCGGUAAAACGUAGGAGGCAAGCGUUAUCCGGAUUUACUGGGCGUAAAGCGCAUGCAGGUGGUUUUGUAAGUUGGAUGUGAAAGCUCCUGGCUUAACUGGGAGAGGUCGUUCAAAACUACAAGACUUGAGAUUGGUAGAGGAAAAUGGAAUUCCGGGUGUAGUGGUGAAAUGCGUAGAUAUCCGGAGGAACACCAGUGGCGAAAGCGGUUUUCUGGACCAAUUCUGACACUCAGAUGCGAAAGCUAAGGUAGCAAACG